AGCCACGUCAGCUUUUGAAGGGGACUAGCUCAGGCCUGAUGCUCAGAAAAACAGCUUUUACAGGGGUUGGAAGGGAUAGGAAGGUUGGUUCACAGGAAGCCAAGGGGAAACAGAAAGUGUUGGAGGCUACCAGCUGAUCUGCAAGGCUCCCUUUGAUGCCAGCUGUUACCCUGGACCCUUGCUCCAAGGACAGGUGCAGGAAGGAAAGGUGCAGCUCCAGGACCACUCAAGAAGCUGUUCCUGCAACACAGACCAUCUCCCUGUUCCUUGAACUUAAGCUUUCUUCUACCUCGGACCUUUGCAUGGAAUGUUCCCUUUGCCUGAAACACCCUUUCCACAGAUAUUAUGAAGCAAGUCCCACAUUUCCUCCUCACCUUUGUCAAAUGUCAUCUUACCUGAGGCCUUACUUGACCACCCUAUAUCCUUUAUUCUGUUUUUUUCACUAUAGCACUUUUCAUUAUCUAAAAUAUGAUGUACUUAGCUAUUGGUCUGUCUCCUCUCAUCAUUAACAUAAGUUCCAUGAGGGCAGGGACUUGAUGGGUCUUGUUCAUUGCUGCUACUAGAAACACAGUAGACAAUAAGUAUUUGUUGAACAAAUAAACAAAUAGAAAUAUAUUCUUAUUAAAUGGUUUCUUCUGGGCAUGUGAGGAGAGAUGAGAGGGGACUUUUCACUUUUUACUGGGUACUCCUAUAUAUCAUUAGAUGUAGUUUAUCAAGGGCUAAUAUCACAUUUGUUUCACAAAAUCAAUUGGGUAAUUUUUUUAAGUCUCAUUUCCAAAUUUACUGUCUUGUCUGUUAAUACCUGUUUGAAGAGAAAUCAUAUGGCAGGUGUCAAGUGAUUAAGAACAACCUAAGGAAGAUUUUUACCUGAAAGGAGUUUUACCAAUUCCCUGUAAAUUGGGAAAAUAUUUAUAUUGUUCUAUUUUGUAUUUGUGCUGUUCUAUUUUAACAGAAUAUCCAGGCCCACUUUGUGGUUUGUCUCAAGUCCACAGCAGCAUGAUUCUGUCCAGAUGGGGAGGCCUGGAAUCAAGAGCAAUCCCCAGAGCUAAAUAGGGUGACGGAGGAGGUCAUGGCUUGAAUGUUUGUCAAAGUGUGAGGGACAUUAACUGAUGAAAAAGGGAAAUAGAAAGUGAAACCUUUUAUUUAAACAACAUUAAGCCAGUUCCUUUAAGGCACAACUGCUUGGAGCCUUUAACCUAGUACACGUUAUUAGGUGUCCAGGAGGGAGGUAACAGGCAACUUCCUGAGCUCUUGGGGUCUCAGCAUCCUUUUCACAGUGGUUGCUAUAUUUGGAGGACAAAUUUUGGGAAACAUUGAAAUUAAAGAUUUUCUGAGGUAAAGGAGAAAUUUUUCCUAUUCCUUAGGAGUCUUGCCUGGUAAGAAAAGUAGGUGCUAGAAUAAAUUAUAGGGGUUGGCUGAGAUCUACAGGCUGGAGAGUGAACUUUGCCACUCGGUUUCUGUGAACCAGAGGGGAGAUAGGAUGGCCAUGGGAUGAAGAAAGCAAGAAAACAGGCAAAACCCCAAGAUAUUUCCCUGUUAAUACUAUUGCAUUAAGAUCCUUGCCCCCCAGUUUUGUCUAAAGCUUCUGCUUGGAAUUGACUGAGCCUAGUUCAAGGGGAGCCAUGGCUUGCCCAGAUUCUUUGAAAAACAGCUAGAGUGUAACUGAAAUGAAGUGUGGAUACUCAGGAAGUAUCAUGAGAUGUAGUUUCUAGAAGCCCUGGGGACCCAUAGAGAAUGAAACAGCAACUUGUGCAAAGUUUAUUCUAUCCAAUUUGGAGCAGUCUGUCUUCAAGGCAGAAUCAGAGCGCUGGCUCUUAAACAGGGGCUGCUUGUCGUGAAUGACGCUGAUGCUCUUGUGAAAGACCAGUCGUCCGGGAAGCCUAUGAGCAGAGUUGAACAAAUAUCUAGAAAGGAGUUGACAUACACCUCCCUUCAUGACCACCCCUUUAUUCUUCUGAAGCAAGCAAUAUUAUACUGGGGCCCAGUCUUCCUGUGUUUACCCACACCUACAUCUUUUUUCCUAUGGUAUUUUUCACUGUCUUGAAUAUUGUUCCAUGCCAGUUCCUAUCUCCAUUCUGUUUAACAACUGCAUUAUCAUAAUUACUCUCCUUUGAAGGGCAAUUAGGUCAUUUCCAAUUUUACUACAAUGAGUAACAUGUUAAGCACUAGUCAAGUUUUUACGUUUUAAGCACUUCACAUGUAAUCCUCAUACCUCUGAUAGGUAUAAUUAACCCUUUUUUUUUUAGGAGAGCAAGGUACAGGCUUUUAUUUAGAGAUAAAGUGAAAGGACAGAGCUCCCGGCUCACGCCAGGAGGGGACAAGAGAGUCCCUAAUUAACCCCAUUUUUACAGAUGAGUCUUGAUGUACUGACAGGAUAACCUACUUGCCCAAGGUUAAAAGUCAUUAAGUAGUGGAGUCACAUUUGAACUCUAGUCUUGUCUCCAGAGCCACAAGGAAUCACUACUACAUUAGAUUACAACAUUUUUACACAGGAGGCAUAUGCUCUUCUAAAUUGAAUUAAGACUAAUUUUAUAUAAAACCCACUAUACUGUUUUUUUCAUUUCAGUAGAACUGGCAAAAACUUCAUCUUGGAGUGGCAUCAGGGUACACAGACCAGCACCUUGGAUCUACUGCUUUCAGUGUACCAUGCAAACACAUCUUUGCACACCGGUGUGAGCAUUCUCAGGAACGAUCACAGAAAUAAUGUAUUAACAGAAACUCUUCUUUUAUCGAAUACUCAAGUAGAAGGGCUGGUGAGGCAUCUUGCUCCCUUCCCAUGGGCUCUUUAGCAUCUGAACCAACAGCAAUUAUUUCAGAGAAGUAAAAAGCUAACUGGACAAUGAAAACUAAGUUGAACAGGUGAUAGGGCUGAGUUGGAUUCAAAACAUAAACAAACCUUUAUCAACUCAUCUUUCUAUCUAGGUCAUCCCAAAGUAAAGCUCUACUCCUAGUCCCAUUUCCUCACAGCAUUGCUGGCCCCCCUCACCAGUAGCAGAGUGAGCAGGAACCACACUACAAAUGCUUCCAUUUCAUUCAGCAUAAAGCAAGGCUUGAGGCCAGGACUGGUAAACCCACUCCCAAAAAUCAAUUUACAGCACAGAUUUUUGAAGACCAACAAUUUAGAGCCUUUUCCUUAUUCAAAUUCCAAGUUCUGUGCACAGUAAAUUUGCUGAGAUCCUUGGAUACUUAGGGGAUCCCUGUGGAAAAGGAAGAUCCUCAGAGAAUGAGACAGCAAUAGGUGAAACCUCUUUUCUCAAAGGAUUAACAAGAUUUCACAUCUGGGAGUCUCAGGUUGCUUGCUAGUCAAGAUGUCAUUUAGGAGAAAUAUGUGUUCAAGUCUUCUUACCCAAGCCACCACUAGUUUCCAGCUAUUAAGUGAAAUGCUUUAUUCUCCAGGUUUAUUAAUCAAGGCUUUUAAGUGUAAAAGCAAGCAUGGGAAAAAACAAGACUUUUUAUCUUAAAACUCUGCUUUAGUAGCAAAGGGCCUAUUCUAUCUUACUGAAUACACAGCAAAAACCCUACUUAAAAGCACUAGUUUGAGGACUUCUUAAAAGAGGAACCUAGUAAAACUUCAAGGAUUUUAUGGGCUGUUUUUUUUUAUUUUGGUAUCAUUAAUCUACAAUUACAGAAAGAACAUUAUGUUUAUUUACUAGGUUCCCCCCUUCACCAAAUCCCCCCCAUACAUCCUUCAGUCACUGUCCAUCUGCGUAGUAAGAUGCUGUAAAAUCACUAGUCUUCUGUGUUGCGCAGCCUUCCCCGUGCCCCCCAUGCACUAUACAUGCUAAUCGUAAUGUAUGGGCUGUUCUUAAGUCAAUUACAA